AAGGGAAAAGAGUGCUAAAUGC
rnacentral:siRNA from 1 species